UCUCUUUCUUUCUUCCCUUUCUUUCUUCCCUUUCUUUAUUUCCUUUCUCCUUUCAUCUCCCGCUUUUUUUCUUACAUUGAUUCGUUUGCCAAAAAAGUCUAGUCAACAUGGCGCUUUGAUGCCAAUUGCUCAACUUUCAAAUUAUCCCUGAACAGUUUACCCAAAAAAGUUAACAGUCGAGCUAAGAUUUCCAAGUCAAUUAGCUUAUAAUCAAAAUCCUGUUAAAACUGAUUAACAGUUCAAGUUAAAGAAAGCCUUUCUAAUUGAUCAAUCCUUUUAAAUGGUUAAUCUGUUGAAAUCUAACCCUUUUCCAACUUCUGAUGAAUUUUUUGGGUAAACAACUGGUUAACCCUCUAAUGACCAGAACCUGGUGAACCAGAUUAGAUUAAGAGUAUUAUGUCCAUUUAAUCUAAUUGACAGAUGUGUUAAUUUUUAAAGCAAAUAAGCUUCUCGAUAAUCUCAAUUUUCCCUUUUAAUUGAAUUUAUUUCUCACGUCAAUAAUUUGGCUCUCACAGAUUAGUUGAAUCAAUAGAUGGCAGUUGAAAAAAUAUUACAAAGUCUUGACAUAUGUAAAAUUGUGUUAUCAAUCCUAAUGUUUCCCUAUUUAUUUGACUGAAUCCUCCAACUACCCUGUUCUGGUAAUUACUCUAUUUCCUGAUUUUCAUUCUUGUUAAAUAUUCAAUCAAUGAAAUUAACUAACUUAAAUUUGGUUCGACUAUAUGUUUGGAGAUGUCCUUUGAGGCGUUUAUUGAUGGAGGAAGAGGAAAGCCGACGGUGUCAACCUGAACAACAACCACAAUGAUGACGAGAUGCUAAAAAGAUGAUGAUCAACACUGAUACUGGAGUUUUGUAACUUGUAGUGGGUACUUAACAUCAUGGAAUCAAACAUCCUCUCUUAACCCAGAGUCUCAAAGUCAAAAUUACCGUAUUAUCCUAUUAAUUUGUUAGAUUAGUGAAGACAUGUGAAACAAAAAAAAAAUAACCAGACCAAGAAUCAGCAAUUUUCAUUCUCUAUCUCAAUUAUAUUCAUCUUAGGUUAAACCAAAAGAUAUCAGAAGAUGAAAAAGAGAGAGAGAGAAAGAGAGUAGGAAAUAAACCUCUUCUUUUCUAGAGUUUUUUUUUCAAAAUGUUCAAGAUUUGUAAUUAGAUUCCAAUCAAGAGACUGAUAAUCUUCAAAUUUGGAUGAAGCAAUGAAACAUUCAUGCAGCAUAUUAAGAUGUUGAUAGAGCCUGAAUAAUCUCAACUUAUUGUGAAAGCCUCAACUGGAUUGGAUUCUAGGAGAUGAAACCUUUAGACAAAAAAUUGUUGAUGCAGCACGAUUUGAAGGUUUUGGAAAAUAAUUACUUUUGAUUUCUUCCCUCACUUGAUUCGAGCUGCCUCUUCUCAUCAUCUCAUCAUCUCUCAUCAUCAACAUGAUCAUCGUCACCAUAAUCAAUAAUUGUCUUCGUCAUCUUAAUCAUCGUCCUCGUCAUCAUCGUUUAAAGUGAGAGAAAGUGUGUUAAUUUUUAUCAUUACUUUCCCUUGAUUGUAAUCACAUUCACGAUUAUCCUCCCUACUCUUGUUCAGCUAAUUGUCAAACUCUUAAACCUCUCAAGUUGCAAUGAAAGAUGUGGAUGGUAAAGCAAAUUAAUGGAUUCAUAAAUUUUCAUCCAUCAAUCCAAGAGAGAGAGAGAUUCUUGUUCAUCUUCACCAAAUGCAAGUAAACACCAAUCAAUAUUUACAUUAUAACUCUUUUUACCUGGCUCACACAAACAGUAAGCAAUCAGAAACAACCUAAACAACAAGCCAACAUCAAAUAGAUUUAUUAAUGAAUAAGUAAGCUUGUAAUUAUUUGUAAAAGCAUUUACAAUUAAUUAAUUAUCAUCUUACUUUUUUCUCUAAAACAACAACUGCCAAACCAAAGACAACAAACAACCUAAAUGGGUAGAGAGGGAAAACAAAACAAAACCAAAACACACACACAACCAGUCAAUAAACCUUUGCGCCUUUUCAAACAAUUUCAACCUGAAAUACGCAAGUUACUCGCUGAUUGUAAUUAAUUAAAUAACAUUAAUAACAAUCUGUGGGAGUCAUUUUGUUAAGCAAUGCACCAGAAAAGUGCAGUAAAGGUAAUCAUGGAUCAACAAGAAAAAGUAGUUGAAAUUGGUGUUUCUCUCAAUUAUGAUCAGGAUAAUGAUUAUCCAACACUGGUAAAGAUGACAUUCAACCAUAUCAACGACCCAAAACCAGUUUUUACUCAAAGGAUAUCCAAAUGUCCAUGAUGAGCUAAAAGUACCCAUAAUUCAGGCCAAACCAACACUCGUCAAGGCGUCGAGGGAGAAAAAAGUCCAGUAAAAGUGGUUCGAAUAUUACUGUUGAACAUACCUGGCGAUCCGUAUUUCAUUAUCAAUUCAAUUCGUAAAUGAUGCUCUUUUUAUUCAAUUGGAAUCAAUGUUUUCAACUGGCGAUCAGAUGCAGUUGCUUGUUUACAAAGUCUAGCGUACCUGUUAAGCCUUUACAGACUUUGGUGUUUAUUUUAAGACGAUGAAAUGAACUGACAAGAAUAAGAUGAAUUUGAAAGAGAUAGUCAGAGUGAAACUGUUUGUGAAGAUAAAAGUGAAGAAGCAAGAAAAGGAUGAUUUUUCUUGAAGGAUUACUUUCCACUAAUUUUAUUUACACUUUUAAGUAACUCCACUUUUUAAAUCCUUUAAAUCUCUUAGGAAGAUGAAAGAGGAAAAAAGAGGGAAAAACUGUUCUCUCUUCAAUUUAUCUUUCUUCUUCAUCUUUCAUUU